UGAGGCCGCAGAGCUGUUGGGGAGGCCGGGAGGGAAGGAGCCGCGUCACUGCUGCUUAGCAACGUCGCCUAGCAACCGCUCAGCAUCUUUCUCCGGCUGGACCAAUCCGGGGAAGGGAAGGGCAGGGCAUCCCUGGCUUCCUGAGGCGGGGAGGAGGAUGCUCGGCUGGCCAGUGGCUUGGAGGGAGCAGCCGGAGAGCAGAGGCUUCCUGGAGCUGGUGGCCCUCGCCUGGCAGGCAAACUGGGAGCCCUCUGGGAAGGAAGGUGUUUACUCAGCAGAACUGCGUGGGAAGCAAUGCUAGCUGAACCUGUACAAAGGGAGAAACUCAUUAGAGCUGCUGAAAAGACUGUGGAGAGGCGCUUUGUGGAUUGAUUCAGCACUACGAGCGGAUCCAACCCUUGUAUUGACAAAUACCUUAACAACGUCGAAAGUAGCCUAUUUUAAGAGGAAAUAUGCAGAAGAAGAAGAAGAUUUACAACAAGAUUACCAGGGGUAUUUUCCAAAACACCUGAUCCUACCUGAAGAUCGGACUUGUAUUUUGAAACUUUCUCUGCAGAAGCUUCAGUUUCUGGAAGACCCUGAGAUCUAUCUCCGCCGGUCAGUCUUGAUUAACAAUUUGCUGCGGAAAAUUCACCUGGAGACCGAGCGGGAACGCUAUGAGUACUUUAAGGGAGGCCCGUGCUGUAGGACUGCCUACUCGGAUGCGAGAAAACGGCUGAAGUUCAUGGUGCAGGAAUGCCGGUCUCAGUCCCUUUAUUACGAAGAGCUGCAUUCGUAUCAUAUCGUGCCUUACGAACCUACGGAGAAUGCCAUUUAUGGAGUGGGCUAUUCUGGUGGCCAUUUGGAGCAAAAUUCUCAGUUGCUUAUUUAUCAGAUGAAGUAAGGUAGCUUUUCUUUUUCAGAGACCCACGGUUUGUUCCCAAAUGCUUGUGGUGGCUUCUAAGCAUGUUAACGGUUCCAAAUGUAAGGGAAGACCUUCAGUUGCGCUAGGGAGCACUUCAGUGCUUAGGCCUCUUUGAUUGCAAAAAUGACUUGGUGUCUGUAUGAAAGGAGUGCAAUAUGGGGAUUUCUGACAAGCAGAAAGACCUUUAACUCAGUCAUGGUGGGCUUUUCUGUUGUCUGUCUGUACAUAAUUGAAUUAACAUUAGCCACUCAACUCUACUACCCUUCCCUAGAAAGUUAAACUGAAUAUGAGAGACAGAUAUGGAUAGUGAGCAUUUGGGGAGGAUUAACAUUGAGUGGUAGUUUUCUUUCUCAGAAGGAUCAGGACAAGAGACAUGUUUUCUUUAUGGGGUUCAUCAGUACUGGAAGAAUUCUUUGCCAUUAAAAAUACUGAUUUCAUUUUCAUCCUUUUUGGGGUGGGGGUGCGGGUGGUCUUAGGACACUUAACAGUAUUAAUUGUUCAGCAAUCGAUGGGAUUUCUCAUUCAUUUGCUGGCAUGCUUGCUUACUGUGUUGGUAGCUUUGAAAUUCAUUAAAUUUGUAUGAAAGCGAUCUGGGGAUAGAUAGGCUGUCAGAAAAAGCAGGGAAAUGCAUAUAUUUGCUAAUCUCACCUUUUCCAACUUGUUUCAUACACCCCCCCCCCCCAUGAUUCCUGAACCAGAGUGGGGAAGCAUUACCUUUUUGGACUACAAGUCCCUGAAUUCCCCCAGCCAGCAUAGACAUUGGCCAUUAUACCUGGAGGAUUCUGGGAUACGAAUUCUAAAAGGUAAUAUUUCCAAGCUCUCCAGGCUUCAUGCUUGUGGGCUACUUUCAUACUUAAAAAAAACCCAACUACAACCCCAAAGCUGACCAACUAGGUGCAUAUAGAACAGGCAAAAAUAUACAGAAUUAAGAAACAGGUGCUUCUGACUAACUUUUCAGCAGAGGAAUCCCCCCCCCCCCGCUGCCCUGACUUUAUUAUACUCCCUAUAGUGUAAUCCCCUCGAAAUCUCAGUUCAUUCCAGUAGUCCAAGGGCUUGCCUACAUUACCUGUAUACCCCCAAAUUCCCCCAAGGCUUGCUGCCUGCCCCACACACACACCC